UACGGAGGGUGCAAGCGUUACCCGGAAUCACUGGGCGUAAAGGGCGUGUAGGCGGCUAAGGAAGUCUAGUUUUAAAGACCUAGGCUCAACGUAGGGAAAGGACUAGAUACUGAAUAGCUAGACCUCUGGAGAGAGAACUGGAAUUCCUGGUGAAGCGGUGGAAUGCGUAGAUACCAGGAGGAACACCAAUGGCGAAGGCAAGUUCUUGGACAGAAGGUGACGCUGAGGCGCGAAAGUGUGGGGAGCGAACCGG
rnacentral:rRNA from 1 species